GGGCUGAAGUAGGUCCCAAGGGUAUGGCUGUUCGCCAUUUAAAGUGGUACGCGAGCUGGGUUUAGAACGUCGUGAGACAGUUCGGUCCCUAUCUGCCGUGGGCGCUGGAGAAUUGAGGGGGGCUGCUCCCAGUACGAGAGGACCGGAGUGGACGCAUCACUGGUGUUCGGGUUGUCAUGCCAAUGGCACUGCCCGGUAG
rnacentral:rRNA from 1 species